AUAUUGUUCAGUAAAUGAUUAUUUACCAUUGAUAGGAUUUUUUUUUUCUUCUGUGCUGAGGGCUGAACCUAGGGCCUUCCCACUGAGCUGCAUCCCAGUGCUCCACACCCACCUUUAUUUCUGACACAGAGUUUCACUCCCAUUUCUAGAUCACAGGUCUAACCCCUUGUCUUGCCUCAGGGUUACAAAGUCCAUGUCACUCCCAGACCUAGUGGUCCUUGAACCACUCUUACAAUUAGCUUUCUUCUAACUCUUCAGGCCAAACUUCCUGCCACAUCUGGCUUCAUCCCAAGAAUCUGAUUCUAAAUACGAGUAGUGGCUGAAAUUACCAUGAAGCUACACUGAUCCCCCAUACCAGGAAUCAUUUCUGUAGGUCAGAAGCCUGGGUGAGCCUCAGCUGGGUUCUAUGCUGAGGGCUAAAAGCAAAGUGUCAGCUGGACCAAGAUAAGAGCCCAGACAAGAUCCAUGGGCUCUGGGGAAGAAUCUGCUUCCAGUUUCAUCCAGCUGCUACAGGCUCCUCUCAGACCCUUGCCACGUCAAACACAGUGUCUGUGUUUCCGGGUGAAUCUCCCUUGAAGGGCCCAUCUGUGUGCCCACUGCCGUGUCACAAGAGGUGUAACCCAUGGCCUCUUUCAU